GUUUUUCAAAAUUCUAAUGUUGCUGCUUAUUUCAUUUUUCUUUCAACAUUUACUUUCUGAUUAGCUCUGGAUGAAAUUCACUUCUUGCCCCGUCUUUUCUAGUUACAUCCUUUCUGCCAGUAUCUUGGUUACAACUAUUUAUCGUUUCAUACACUCCCAUGCCACAUAAUCCCUAACUAGUAUGGUACUGGCAAUACCAGGUUAAUAAAGUUUGGAAACAGAAGAAUAGGAAGUAAGUGAGGACUUCAAUAAGAGAGAAAAAACAGAGAAAAAAAGAGAGAAAUAGGAAGACAACAGGGUAGAAGAGAAUGCAGAAAAAUUAGAACAUAGGGAAGUAGUAUGCAACAGUUUACAUUCCAAAAUCCAAUUCUUGAUGUUGCAUUACACAUAUGCUUUGUAAAGGUGGGAGGCAAAAUUGGCCAAUAGUAAGUGUAUUGCAGAUUGGGUCAAUAAGGAGGUCUUACCUCUUUGGACCAAUAAAAGGUAUUUAUAACUUUGGGUCAAUAAAGAAUUGUCAUCGGUUUUGGACCAAUCGGGAGUAGCAGCUACUUUGGAUCAAUUGGGAAUUGCCACCAUACAAGCAACCAUCAAAAUAAAGGUGAGGGAUGCUGGCAAUCUAUUGACUAGGGCUGGAUUCACCCUUCCUGGUGUUGACGUUGAUGAAUACGUAGUUAGAUAUAAGAGUGCUCUAGAUUUGAUAGAUCAUCUGCGAGCAAUGGGUGAAACUAAUGCUCUCCUACAGAGGAACAAGAUUCUGAAGAGAGAAACAGCCUUGGCAACUGCAGCCAUUUAUGAGUCAAUGUUUGCAGCAGAUGAUGGCACCGUGCCUGCAACCUUCCAGGUGAUUUAUAUGACUGGAUGGAAGGAGCAUCCAUCGCAACAGAAGGCAAAAAGGAGGGGAUCAGCCACCAUAUCUUUCAAGGACAUCCAGAAGCAAUUUGGAAGUGAGAAUUAAUCUCUCUCUCUCUCUCCCCAGUUUGCAUUUGUUUAUGGAGGAUAAUAAAUAUGACAAGAAUUUUGGCUGGAAAAUGGACUGGAAGGGUGUAAAAUGAGACAAACGAAAAGCUCUUGAUUUUUUUUUUCUUUUGUUUAUAUAGUCUCUGAUGUUGUUUUUGAUACACACAUUCUCCGUGGUGGAGCAAAGCUAAUAACUUGUCAUUAAUUAUGAAUCCUGGAUCUUUUUUUUUACCA